rnacentral:rRNA from 1 species
UACGUAGGGUGCGAGCGUUAAUCGGAAUUACUGGGCGUAAAGCGUGCGCAGGCGGUUUUGUAAGCCAGAUGUGAAAUCCCCGAGCUUAACUUGGGAACUGCAUUUGGGACUGCAAGGCUAGAGUACGGCAGAGGGGGGUAGAAUUCCUGGUGUAGCAGUGAAAUGCGUAGAUAUCAGGAGGAAUACCGAUGGCGAAGGCAGCCCCCUGGGUCAAGACUGACGCUCAUGCACGAAAGCGUGGGGAGCAAACAGG